rnacentral:rRNA from 1 species
UACAGAGGUCCCGAGCGUUUGUUCGGAUUUACUGGGCGUAAAGGGUGCGUAGGCGGUGGGGUAAGUUUGAGGUGAAAGCUCCGGGCUCAACCCGGAAACUGCCUUGAAAACUAUCCGGCUAGAGGGUUGGAGGGGAGACUGGAAUUCUCGGUGUAGCAGUGAAAUGCGUAGAUCUCGAGAGGAACACCAGUGGCGAAGGCGGGUCUCUGGACAACACCUGACGCUGAGGCACGAAAGCCAGGGGAGCAAACGGG